AGGAGGAACAACCGCAGUGGCGGGGCCAGCUCUGGAGCCCUGGAGUCAGCCCCCGCAGUAACCACAGAGCUCUCCGUCUGCAGGGCCUGGAGGCUCCGGGCCGGG
rnacentral:pre_miRNA from 1 species